rnacentral:rRNA from 1 species
AUGUGUGGUGCCGGUGCGUUCCCCAAGCUGAGAGUCUUCGAAACAUAUGGAACUCUUGGCUCGUUUGUACAAGGAGAUAUGCCGGUCCUUGAAUCUCUUCAGUUCACCGUCAUAGUACAGAACAAUGAUGACAACAUUAGCGUUGACUUUGACUUUGGUAGCCUAGGGAACCUCCCUUUGCUUCAGGUAGUCCGAGUCCUUGUGCGGGCAACUGAUGCGGACUACAAGAAGGCUAAGGAAACGGUGAUGCAUGCAAUUUAUAUGCUUCCCAACCGUCCCCUAGUCGCUUUCUACUAUUAA